rnacentral:rRNA from 1 species
AGGACGAACGCUGGCGGGCGUGCCUAACACAUGCAAGUCGAACGGAGUAUAAAAGGAAGCUUGCGAAUUUUAUACUUAGUGGCGGACGGGUGAGUAACGCGUGGAUAACCUGCCUGAUAGCCUGGGAUAACAGCUGGAAACGGCUGCUAAUACCGGAUACGCUUGCGGAGUCGCAUGGCUUUGCAAGGAAAGCUUUUGUGCUAUCAGAUGGAUCCGCGUCCCAUUAGCUAGUUGGUGGUGUAGAGGACCACCAAGGCGACGAUGGGUAGCCGGCCUGAGAGGGCGAACGGCCACACUGGGACUGAGACACGGCCCAGACUCCUACGGGAGGCAGCAGUGGGGAAUCUUCCGCAAUGGGCGAAAAAGCCUGACGGAGCAACGCCGCGUGAGGGAAGAAGGCCUUCGGGUUGUAAACCUCUGUUUUCAGGGAAGAAGAAAGUGACGGUACCUGAAGAGUAAGCUCCGGCUAACUACGUGCCAGCCGCCGC